GGCAGCCCGAGCCAAGCCUCCCAGCAUUGUCUGAAAUCUCCAAAUUUAGAAGAAAUAUGAAAAUUGUCAAGCGGCCCUUCCUUAGGGGGUAAAAGCAACGCGGGGCCUGGCGGCGGCGCGGCCCGGGGGGGGGGGGGGGGGGGGGGGGGGGGGGGGGGGGGGGGGGGGGGCCCACAGCUCAUAUGAGGCUCAGCUGUGGCUGUCCCUGGGCUUUUGGAGCUGCUGAACACACGGGAGGAUGGUACAGCCCUCGGGAUGGCCACCAAGAGAGAUGGGCAGAGCUGAUGUGCCACCAGGCUGCCACACGGGCACCACCGUGGGCACAGGCAGGGACAGCUGUGGGUUUAUUUUCUGAUCCUGCCCAGCCGUGCAAAGGGGGCUGGAUCCCAGGGGAUGGAUCCCAAGGGCUGGAUCCCAGGGAUGGAUCCCAGGGAUGGAUCCCAGGGGCUGGAUCUCAUGGGCUGGAUCCCAGGGAUGGAUCCCAGGGGCUGGAUCUCAUGGGCUGGAUCCCAGGGAUGGAUCCCAGGGGCUGGAUCUCAUGGGCUGGAUCCCAGGGAUGGAUCCCAGGGGCUGGAUCUCAUGGGCUGGAUCCCAGGGAUGGAUCCCAGGGGCUGGAUCUCAUGGGCUGGAUCCCAGGGAUGGAUCCCAGGGGCUGGAUCUCAUGGGCUGGAUCCCAGGGAUGGAUCCCAGGGGCUGGAUCUCAUGGGCUGGAUCCCAGGGAUGGAUCCCAGGGGCUGGAUCUCAUGGGCUGGAUCCCAGGGAUGGAUCCCAGGGGCUGGAUCUCAUGGGCUGGAUCCCAGGGAUGGAUCCCAGGGGCUGGAUCUCAUGGGCUGGAUCCCAGGGAUGGAUCCCAGGGGCUGGAUCUCAUGGGCUGGAUCCCAGGGAUGGAUCCCAGGGGCUGGAUCUCAUGGGCUGGAUCCCAGGGAUGGAUCCCAGAGGCUGGAUCCCAGGGAUGGAUCCCAGGGGAUGGAUCUCAUGGGCUAGAUCCCAGUACAGGGAUCCCAGGGAGUGGCUCCCAGGGGCUGGAUCCCAGAGGAUGUUUCCCAGUACAGGGAUCCCAGGGGCUGGAUCCCAGAGCAUGGUUCCCAGGGGCUGGCUCCCAGGGACUGAACCCCAGGGGAUGGAUCCCAGAGCUGGAUCCCAGGGGCUGGAUCCCAGGGGAUGGAUUCCAGGGGAUGGAUCUCAUGGGCUAGAUCCCAGUACAGGGAUCCCAGGGAGUGGCUCCCAGGGGCUGGAUCCCAGAGGAUGUUUCCCAGGGGCUGGAUGAUCCCAGUACAGGGAUCCCAGGACACACUGCAGUGCUGCUCAUCGCUCCUGCAGAACGCACAGCAGCCCCUUCCUGGGGAUGUGCAGGGGCCAGACAGGCUCUGCAAAGGCAGGAGGGUCCCUACAGGGAUCCCAGGGCACACUGCAGUGCUGCUCAUCGCUCCUGCAGAACGCACAGCAGCCCCUUCCUGGGGAUGUGCAGGGGCCAGACAGGCUCUGCAAAGGCAGGAGGGUCCCUGCAGCACCUCCCCUGCUUCUGGGUCCCUGUGGCUGUUGUCACACUUGGCCAGGGCUCAGGGCUGGCCUGGCCAUGGCUGGUACAGAGUGCUGUUCCCAGUCCUCAUUCCUGAGCAGUGGAUGCUGCAAUCUUGGGGCUCCACAGGGCUCUUUCCCCCCCAGGAACAAGGGGCAGCAGGGGGGGAGCCCAGCCCAGUGCUCAGGGUGGCUCCUGCCCCGGGUCCCAGCUGGGUGCUCGUGGCCAGGGGGGCCGGGCCGGAUGCAGGGGCUCGCAGCAGAGAUGCAGCAUCUGCUUCUCAUCAGGCUGCUGGGGCUGCUGGGCUGUGAUAGAUGGUCUGUUUAUCAGCUUCAGCCCUGCUCAGGAUGUUAGUGUUCGCCUGAGAAAGAUAUUUUUGGGCUUGGCCACUCCCUCCAUCCUCCCUCGCCUCCUGCUUCCCCCCGGAUCUUGGCUCUCCAGACCAGGUGGGCUGAAGCCUGUCCAGACCCAAGGGAGGAGAUCCAGGGAGCUUCUGUCCCACAGCCCGUGGGGAGGGCUGGGCUGGGCUCUGCCAGCCUGGGAAUGGACCAGAAAAGGUUUGAGCUUGGGAAGCCGAGGUGCUGGCCAGCUGCAGGCUGUCCUGGGGACGGGGACAAGGACAAGGGUGGGGAGGGACAGCAGGAGCUUUCACCACUCCUCAUCCCCAGGGUGGGCAAGGGGCAGGGAGGGUGUGCUGUGUGGCACCCACAGCCUCCUGUUCACCCCCAUCACCCUCACCCUCCUGCCCAGCUGUGCACCAGCUCUCUGGGGAGAUGCAUCUGGGAUUUAGAGGGAUUUAGAGACAGCCCCACCAUGUACCCAUCCCCUGUCCCUAUCCCUGUCUGUCCCUGCUGAGCUGGGGCCAGGCUGAGCUACCCAGCCCAGGCCUGUCCUGCCACCACUCUGGGGACAUGGGCACAGAGCUCUGGGGACACACAGCUCUGGGGACACACACACAGCUCUGGGGGGGGGGGGGGGGGGGGGGGGGGGGGGGGGGGGGGGGGGGGGGGGGGGGGGGGGGGGGGGGGGGGGGGGGGGGGGGGGGGGGGGGGGGG
ensembl:lncRNA